rnacentral:lncRNA from 1 species
GAGUGUGCAUGACUUGCAAUAGCAUGAAAGAUUGUGGCUGAGGUUGGCACGUGUUGUACUAGGCUGCCAUGCUCCGUAGAGAUAUUUAACAGAGCCACAGCUGAUGCUUUACUUGCAUACAACUCAUAACCCAACUGAUUAGAGAGUGAUUUGUGGCUCAUUACCCAUCACACUUUCUUCAACUUCUGAGAGGUUAUGUCAACUGUCUUUCUAUAGUCUUGCUAACCAAAUGAAGCCCCCAAGUGGUGUUCUUCCAGCAUGUCCAAUGUGAAUACUUUGCUGUUGGAACCAUCCUCCCAUCCAU